UAAUGGCCUCUGCAAAUGGCCUUCUCUGCAGUCCUUUUACCUUCAACCCCUCUGCUAAUUGCUCAACUCUGUUUUUUAUUUCACUUUCAAAUUCCUGGGAGAAAAAUCUCAUUGCCCUGCCUAAUCAACAUCAUCCCUUGCUAGACAAAGCUGUUCUGUCAAACCACCUAAUAAACCUCUGGAUAUUGGCUGGCCUUUUAUCACUUGGUCUAGGAAAUGUUGUG
rnacentral:lncRNA from 1 species